rnacentral:rRNA from 1 species
GACGAACGCUGGCGGCGUGCUUAACACAUGCAAGUCGAACGGAAAGGCCCUGCUUUUGCGGGGUGCUCGAGUGGCGAACGGGUGAGUAACACGUGAGUAACCUGCCCUUGACUUUGGGAUAACUUCAGGAAACUGGGGCUAAUACCGGAUAGGAGCUCCUGCUGCAUGGUGUGGGUUGGAAAGUUUCGGCGGUGGGGGAUGGACUCGCGGCUUAUCAGCUUGUUGGUGGGGUAGUGGCUUACCAAGGCUUUGACGGGUAGCCGGCCUGGGAGGGUGACCGGCCACAUGGGGACUGAGAUACGGCGCAGACUCCUACGGGCGGCAGCAGUGGGGAAUAUUGCACAAUGGGCGGAAGCCUGAUGCAGAAACGCCGCGUGCGGGAUGACGGCCUUCGGGUUGUAAACCGCUUUCGCCUGUGACGAAGCGUGAGUGACGGUAAUGGGUAAAGAAGCACCGGCUAACUACGUG